UAAGGACAAUACAUGACAAGCCACUAACAGGCGACUUCAGCAAUAUCAACAACCAUCCCCAGAGCUUUAGAAUUUAGGUCAACAAGAAGCCAAUCUGGACCCACAAGACUGAUGGAGGGAAAAUACACCAAAGAAAGAGGAAGUCUUCAGCAGAAAAUUGCCACAAACGUUUAAAUGAUCUGACCUGUCUUGUUUAGAUCUUGUUUGGAACCAGUCACUGUAUUUCUCCUUAGCUUGGA